GCCCCAUUGGCGCAGUCGGUUAGCGCGUCGUACUUAUAAGUGAAUGAGAUAUGCGAAGGUCAGAAGUUCGAGCCUGCUAUGGGGCA
rfam:Ascaris suum AG00029, whole genome shotgun sequence.